UUCAAGUGUAUGAAAAUGUUGGAGGAUGGCAAUGCCAACAAAAGAGAAAUUUUACUCCAAGCUCUGAAUAUAUGAAUACAUAAAUAAAAAUUUUGGACAAAGACUAAGGAUUGAAAAGAAAAGGCAACCCUUUUUUACCAACCCAAAUAGUUACCUAUAGAUUGAAACUUCUGGCAUAUGAAAUGGAGGAGAGAAACAUUGAAAACUAGCAAGCCUUCCAACUUCAUUCCCUUUGAAUCUAAGAAGCUGGUUUCUUUAAAUCAGCUUGGUCCAUGGGAAGAGCAGGGAGCACAUCCACAACCUUAAAAUAUCCAAAUACAGAACAUGUACAUAGAACAAGACCACAUACAAACAUUACAUUAAAAUUCAGAAAGCAAUUGAUUAUUUAAUUAGUUGUGUUUCCUAGAAUAGGAUCCUUUGUCCAGUUAUGCCACCCAAACCCUGUUCAGUAUGGAACAAUAAUGGAUUCAAUCAGCUCUUGAAGUGGAGCCAGCUCCUUUUUGUCAAUUAAACCAAAUUCAUGGGUAAAAAGUAUGAAAUGCUUGAAGCAUGUGUUUAAAUGUGCCUCCUCCUUAAGGCUGACAAUUUUCUGAAAGUGAGAGUGA
rnacentral:misc_RNA from 1 species